rnacentral:rRNA from 1 species
UACGGAGGGUGCAAGCGUUAUCCGGAUUCACUGGGUUUAAAGGGUGCGUAGGUGGGCUGGUAAGUCAGUGGUGAAAUCUCCAGGCUUAACUUGGAAACUGCCAUUGAUACUAUCAGUCUUGAAUACCGUGGAGGUCAGCGGAAUAUGUCAUGUAGCGGUGAAAUGCGUAGAUAUGACAUAGAACACCAAUUGCGAAGGCAGCUGGCUACACAAAUAUUGACACUGAGGCACGAAAGCGUGGGGAGCAAACAGG